UAUUCCCCUCCCCCUCCCCCUCUGCCCCCCCCCGCUCUCUCCUCUAACUCCGCCUCUCUCCUCACAUCCGGCCCCGGGGAGUCCGGGAGGAGGAGGGGGCGGGGGCGGGAGGAGGCGGGGACAGACGCGGAAGCAGAGGCGAGGCCGGGCUGGAGGUCCGGGAGGUUUAGGAGGAGACGGGGUUGUGGGGAGGCGGAGGCGGAGGCGGAGGCAGCCUCUGCUUAGGUUGCGGAGAGAGAGAAUAUCUCAGAGCCCGGGGGGUGGGGAGGGGCAAGAGCUAGAUAGAGAAAUGCCGGAAGAAGAGGGAGAGCCGGCCACACCUCGGGCCACGGUCAGAGACCGAGAAGGGCUGAGGAGCGAGCCCCUGCAGCUCCCGGCAUCAAGUUCCAGAGACAGACCGCAGUCUGGGCGUUCGACGGGCCAUGGCGUGCCCCUCCCCCCCCCCGGAGUGGCCACCUGGAACCCCCCCCUCCCCGCAUGGGCGCGAAGCGGCGCUGCAGAGCCCGGAGGAGAGCAGCUACAGCCGUGGCGAGAAUCCCGGGAGCUCUUGGUACCCGGAGCCCCCGCGGGAUGGAAGCCGGACCGGAGGCCACAGCCUGCGCCCUCCCCAGGGGCACCGAGGGGGCGCUCAGCCGGGCCCUCGGAGAGCUGCUUUCCGAUGAUAAGGCGCACCCCCCCCCCCCAUCUCCGGGCCCUCUCCUCGGACCCUGAGCCGUAAUGCAGAGCGCUGGGCUAGAGGAAUGAGUUGUCGGGCCGCAGCUGUGGAGGAAAAGUUGCUCCUCCUGCAGCUCCACUCAGUGCAGAAACGGGGCCUGCUGGAGGUGGAGGAAGUCCGGCUGCUGCCCCUUUCCCCUCCCCUGCCAGGAGAGCCGACAGCGGAAACUUCCUAGUAGUAGUAGUAGUCUCUCGGUGACAGAGAAUGACAAUUGUCUUUGUGCAGUUUCAUCUACGGUGUACCCUCCUGUGGCUUUGGAGUCCAAAGGCUGAGGCGCAAAGUUUGUGGCACAUGGGGCCUGGGACACCAGUUGUUACGGGAGGUGCGGCUGUGGCCUGGUGUCGGUUCAGGGCAGCCUCCGGUGCUCAUCUUCAAAGGUGGUGGCGGCAUGGUUAAUGUGGGCUCACCAGCUGCUUCUGACAGAGGCAGCGAGUUCUAGUUGCUUUGGUGUCAUGCCAGCCCACUUCAAGUUGGACUUUAGCUGAUCCUUGUACCUUUUCUUUGGUCGAUCUUGUUUCCUGAGUCCAGCUGACAGUUCACCAUAGAAUACCUGUCUUGGUAUUCGCUGUGGGUCUAUGCGGAUGACUGUCCAGACCAUUGAGGAACAUGACUUCCAUGCUGGUGGAGUUGGCUCUGUCGAGGACUUCCUGAUUGGUGAUUCGGCCCUGCCAUCGGAUCCUCAUGAUUGACCAGAGAGAGCGUUGGUGGAAUUGUUCCAGCUGUUUCAUGUAUUUCCGGUAUAGUGUCCAUGUCUCACAACCGUGCAGUAGUGAGCUGAGGACCACUGCGUUAUACACUUUGAGCUUCAUCGCAAUGCUUACACCGCUGCUAUGUUGGAGGACUUUGGAGUGCAGCCGCCGGAGUGCCUGGCUGGCCUUUUGGAUCCUGGCAUUGAUCUCGUGGUCUAGGGACCCCUCCUUGGUGAUGGUGCUGCCCAGGUACUUGAAAGUGUUGAUGUUAGAAAGCUGCGUGCCCGAUUGUAAUGCACAGCUGAUUAGUUGGCCUCCCUGGUGCAGGUUGAAACAGCACCUCUGUUUUGCUGAGGCUGAUAGUCAGGCCAAACAGUUUUGUUGAGGUAGAGAACCUGUCCACAAUGGUUUGGAGAUGAUUUUCUUGGUGGGCUAUGAGAGCAAAGUCAUCUAACUUCCAAUGAGGGAGAAAAGCUUCUGACUUUGGUAACGGUGAUGCUGUGCCUGAUGGUGACGGGCCACAGUCAGCCACCCAGCUUAGUAGGGCUUAGCUGAGCUAUUCCUUCGCCCUCGUGAGGCCAUCAAUGACCCAUUUUCUGCCUUUUCCCCCCCAAAGAUCGCCCCCCCCCCCCAGUAUCUCGUCCACAGGCGGCCAUUCUCUGAGCAUGCGCAGGUGCCAGAGGUCUCUUGUGUUCUGAACAGUUACUUCCGGCCUCCAGUAUUUCUCUCCUGAACUCUUCAGUGCUGCUCUGGAACUAACACAUGAGCAUGUCUAGGUGGCAUUCCAGUGUCUCUAAUGAACAGAUUCCCUUGAAUCCUCAACCAGGGAAAUGCUCCUCCUUUAAACCUUCCUGCUUUAGCUCCAUUGGGGAAGAGCUCUCUGCUUUCUGGCUUCUGUCCUUAAAGGGACUCUGCACAGGGAAAUAGAAUUGCCGGAAGUGAAAUGGCCAAGUUCCUACCUUUCUGCUCUAGAGAAGGGAAAGGCUUUACUUCCGGUUCCGGUGAUGUCGGGUCGGCUCUAGGAUGAUCUUGUCCCAGCUUUGGGCUGGGAAGAGAAAACUUGAGAGAAGUUGGUGCUGUGGGGAUUCUAAAUGAAUUCCUUUUAAUUGGCCAUUAGCCAACUGGACCUCACUAAGUUCUAAUCAGGUCUCCACCCUCCAGAGCUGGGGCGGUAAAUGCAGGGCAUCCCCAGAACAUUCCCAGGCCGGAGAUUUCGUUUCCUAAAAGCAGUCGUGUGUUAAUGGUCAUUUAUCAGGGGAAAAUACUGCUAAAAAAUGGGGGCUCCUUCAGGCCAGUCUUCUCUCCUUAAAAGCCAAUAAGUAGAAAAAGUCCUCAGGAUUCACUAGUCUGUAAGAAAACAAAUACCUACCUAUUGUGAUGGUUGUGCUCUGGAAAUGUACCUCAAAAACUCCCCAGAUCAGGCUACAGUUGGUAGUCUUUUUAUUCCUCAAACACAAAACUGAGGAUGACCCAGGAAAGGCUUUAAAAUUAUCUUUAAGUCAGAAUACCUGUCCAGUUCCCUUCUCUUUAUUUUCUUCGUCUAAUUUACUUGGGGCUCCAAAAUGGCUUUUCUUUGGCCCGAGGCAAAAAACAGCUUCUUCCCUCCUAGUUCACCAUCCUAAAAUGAACUUUUUUCCCUCCAGAACACAUGCACACAUUAAUUAGAGAAACUUCGUUCUCUGGAAAUAAACAGCAGCCUGACAGAGAUGUGAAGUGGUAGCACUCAAAUGAAUGGGUUAAUACCCAGAAUAAACUGCAUCUCCUGACCAACCAUGUUAAAAAAAGAAUCCGUUAAUAAUCAGUAUUUUUCACAUUAACUGAACCAAAACUGGGAAGAAAAGGUUAGAAUUUUAAAGUUAUGAAUUUCUGGACCACCUUUUGCCUUGUGCUGGAUAUUCCAUAUCUAGAUCGCCAGCUCCUGCCUUACCUCUAAAGCUUUUGGGAGGAGUUAACUGCUAACACUGCUUCCAGAUGUGAUUUGCUAGCCCAGAAAUCUCAAGCAUUUAGAAUGAGUGGUGAAGCCUCCACUGAAGAAAUCCAUGAGACAUACAAUAGAAGCCAAACCCCACAGAACACUGAGAAUCAUCCAGAAGUGAAGUUCUCUGAGAAGCUCCUGCACAAACUGUGACCACCAUUGAAACCUGAAGCCUGGGCAUCUCAGAUUCUGAAGAACUUUCUCUAUUGUGAGCUAUUCACAGCAUUGACCCAGAACUACAAUGAAUGCUCAGGCUCCCACCCUAGAGCUUAGCUUCCCAUUCACAGCUUUCAGCCAACCUUUCAGGCCUCUGACCUGCUCUCCUGGCCCUCACCUCCAGCAUGGACGUUACUCCUCUCACAAACAAGCACCUCCUCACACACCCAGCCAAGCUCAACUUGUAGCAGGUACCUGGACCACACUGAUGGCCAUGAAUUCAGAAAGGCUGCUGUCCAUCUUCCUGGUGAUUACUAGCCUAACAGGCCCAGCGGACUCCCAGAUGAUCUCAGUGACUUUUUGGGUGCACCUCACGUCUGUCGGUCCACAAUAUUUCAAUUAUUUCUUUCUGACUGCUUGCAAUAUCUUUUCAGAUUAGGAAUUUUUGAAUUUGGCUAUAAAUUCAUAGAUGCUGUUAUUUGGGGAUUUAUUGCAGGAGUGAUCUGUGGAUUCUUUUGAUUUCUAUUUUACCCUCUUGUUCAAGAAUGUGAGGGUAGUUUGAUAAUUCUGGUAAUAAGAUGUCUAUGUUUUUCUUAUUUUUUUUUAUCAUGACUUUCAUGUAGUCCAAUAAUUCUUAGAUUAUCUCUCCUAGAUGUUUUUGCCAGCUCAGUUGGGUUUUUUUUAAUAUAAUAUUUCAUAUUUUCUUUUUUCCCUUCAAUAUUUCAUAUUUUCUUCUUUAUUCACUUCCAUUCUUUUGAUUUUGUUUGAUUGUUUCUUAAUGUCCCCUGAGAUCAUCAGCUUCUAUUUGCUCAAUUCUAAUUUUUAUACACUGACUUUAUUCCAUCACAUUUUGAAUCUCCUUUUCCAAUUGUUAUUUUUCUACUUUUCCUGAAACUUUUCUUCAUUGAAAUUUUGUGCCUCAUUUUCCAUUUGACCAAUUCUGCUCAUAAAAGUUGUGACAAGGAAAUCACUUUAAAAGACUGAUAUAUAUUAAUUUAAGGUCGCCAAGGAAUUCAGCUAUGUAAUUCCUAAAUGAAAACUCAAGUCAGCAGUCAAACUUUUAUGAAGUUUAAUUACAAUAGGAGGAAGAAAGGAAUUAGAGAUAGAGAGAGAGAAAAAGGGAGAGAAGGGAAUAGGGCUUAAAUACCCCUUCUGUUUAGGCUGGGCCAAAAGGCCCAAGCCCUUAGAUAGCUGGGGCAAAGAAAAAGAGAUCAGUCCCUAUUACUCACGUGACCAAAAUGGAGAAACAGUCUCAGAGGCCCCCACCUUCAGCUUCCUUCAGAGCAAGCUUCUCAGAGCACACACCACCACUCAGACAAACUCCUCAACCACCUCCAGUCUUCAGACCCCCCUGAUCUUUAAGGAAACCAUCCAAGUUGCCUCCCCUCAGUUCUCCCAUCUACCAAUCACUGUCCAUCAAUUUCCCUGUGCCAAUGGAGGCUCUAGCUUAACCCAGGACCGCCCAGAGGUUUCUGGCUUUUGCACAUGUCUGUUGAAGGUCAUAUUUUCAAAUAAUUAAAUCUUUGCUCCUUUGCUACAGCCCUUUCUAAAUCCUAUUAACCUGAGUAGGGUAGAGAUUGGAAUAAUUAAAUUUUGAUCUAGGCUGCAGCCCUUACUCAAUCCUGUUAGGACUGAAUAGGGUGGAGAUUGAUUCCAAGUAUCUCCAUUGUAUCAAUUCUAAAAUCAAUCAUGACUCAAAGAAAUUCCUGUUCUAUGCUUAAGCAUAGGUCAAAGUCCUUUCCAUUGUUCAGCAAAAGGUUUCUGUCCUAAAGUAAUCUUAAGAAGGGAAGAGAAGGAACCUCCCAUGCCAAUGGGGUUCACAUUCCAAUAGUCAAGACCCAUUAUCAAUAGGAAAUUUUUCAAGUAUGAAAUUUCCCAAUGGUGAAAUUUCCAACAUUUAUAAGUCUAAGAAAUUUUGAGGUUUACAAAGUUAUCUAUUUUUGUAUUUCAUUUCUUUUCCCCAAUGUUCUUCCAACCACAAAUAAAUUUAACACCUCAGAGCCUUAUCUGCUACACCUUCUCUUUGUUUCUCUAAGGAUUGUUUUGCUGUCUGUGGUUCUUGCCUUUAAGAGAUGUUACCAACUUGAAUUAAAACACACUCAUUUUGCAACCAGUAGAUUAGGU